rfam:Schistosoma haematobium scaffold242_6, whole genome shotgun sequence.
AUCCAACUGACGAGUCCCGAAUAGGACGAAACGUGCGUCCUGGAU